rnacentral:rRNA from 1 species
AGAGUUUGAUCCUGGCUCAGAAUCAACGCUGGCGGCGUGCCUAACACAUGCAAGUCGAACGCGAAAGGGGCUUCGGCCCUGAGUAGAGUGGCGAACGGGUGAGUAACACGUGGGUGAUCUACCUCUGAGUGGGGGAUAACCUUCCGAAAGGAGGGCUAAUACCGCAUGACGUCCUGGGUUUGAAGACUGGAUACCAAAGUCGGGGACCGCAAGGCCCGACGCUUGGAGAGGAGCCCGCGCCUGAUUAGCUAGUUGGUGAGGUAAUGGCUCACCAAGGCGACGAUCAGUAGCCGGCCUGAGAGGGCGGACGGCCACACUGGGACUGAGACACGGCCCAGACUCCUACGGGAGGCAGCAGUGGGGAAUUGUUCGCAAUGGGCGCAAGCCUGACGACGCAACGCCGCGUGGAGGAUGAAGGUCUUCGGAUUGUAAACUCCUGUUGACCGGGACGAAUGGGCUCUGACCUAACACGUCGGGGCAGUGACGGUACCGGUUGAGGAAGCCACGGCUAACUCUGUGCCAGCCGCCGCGGUAAUUC